CUAAAAUUUCAUACUGACAAUGUCUUGUUUAUUCUGCUGUAUAUACUAUACAUAGAAAUGUAAGUACAAUAUUAACAUUCAGUUGAAUUAUAAUUAUCUAGUAAAAAUAAGUAAGCAAUUUUUCAGUAAUAGUGUACUGUGACCCUUUUGUAUUUUUAUGUCUGAUUUUGUAAGCAAGUAGUUUUUAAGUGAGGUGGGUUACAAGGCUGUCUCUCUUGGCAUGCAGUACUGUACCAGACAUCAUGCAAAGUCAACCUUCUUUUCUUGUUCUUUCUUUUCCUUUUCUUCCUCAGGGGUUUAGGGAGAAGAUGGGUUCAAAGCUGAGGAUAGUCUGGGGAUCACUAUCCAGCUUCUGGAAAAGAGAGGGUGACUUUGCCAGUCAACUGCCAGCUCCCCAGCCAUCAGCCUGACCCGAAUCUCCCCAAGCAUGAGUGUUUCCACCUGCCCAAGAGACAGUACUAACUUCGACCUGAUGGAACAGCGCUACAAUCACAUGUCCACAUCUGACCAUAACGGAGCAUCUUUAUUUAACCUUACCCUCUUCCUGAGUUUCGUUGGGUCAUUUGACUGAAACAAAAAUCACAGGUUUGUAAGUGAGAUAAGAACAUUGUGGUUGCAUCCCUAUUUAAUAGGGUUCUAACCCUAUUCCCAAUGUCAAAUUCAUUGUAACAAUAUUACCUUAAUCAUGCAAGAGAAAUGUAAAAAACAAAGAUGAUUUUGUAUUGUAGCACUUAACGUAAAUACUUUAACUAUGUGUGAUGAAAAGCUAGAGCUUGAGAUAAUUGAAAAGGAGCCUAAAAUAUAGCUCUAGUGAUGGACUGCAAAGUAGCAUCAAAAGAAGCUUCUAACCACAACACAACAGCUACAUUUUGCAUUAUUGCCCAUGGCCUGUCCCUGACUUUUACUAAAAAUAUCCAUGAUAAAAUCUUAGUCUUAGCCAUGAUAGAGACAUCCAAUGACAAAUGAGAGACCAAGGUAUCGCUUUGACUAAUGCAGCUACUGGUCAGAUUGAUAUGGACUAAUAUUAACUGGAAGAUUAGUAUUUGUGAUGGUGCAAUCUUUAAAAACAGAGAGGAAAAUAGGUGGUGAUUUGUGGCUUUGAUUUGCAGUGACUGUGUAUGAGUAAUCUGUAUAGUUUAUAUUUAUUCCUGAUUCACCGUACACAAUGUAGGAAAGCCCUGUGAUGUCAGAUUUAAGUGUUUACAUAAAUUUUCACAAAACAAAGAGAAAGCAAGUUCAGGCCUAGUGACUAGAAAAUAAUUAAUUUAGGGAGUAACCUUGAAGUCCUUAUUCAAUCCUUAAUCAGGCAAAAGUCGUAGACACCACUGAAGUCAAGUAGAAUAUUUAUCAUUGACUUCAAGGGGAACAGUAUUUCGUUCUCAGACUUCAAGAGUUGACCCUUACUGUAGG
rnacentral:lncRNA from 1 species